GGCCUCGUAGUUCAGUGGUAGAACGUAAGAUUCCAGCGUGGGAGCAUGUUUCCUUAUCCGGUAUCCUUAAGGUCAUCCGUUCGACUCGGGUCGGGGUCA
rfam:Schizopora paradoxa strain KTC8140 unplaced genomic scaffold SCHPAscaffold_00026, whole genome shotgun sequence.